rnacentral:lncRNA from 1 species
CCGUCUUCAUAUGGGAAGUUUAGAGGAGGAGGGACUGCUGAGGCUGAGGCACCUUGUCUGGGACGAGAACGUUUGGAGGAGCGUCCAGACAUAUUGGAAAAUUUUUACUGCUGAAUUUUUGAGAUUAAGAUGCAAGGAAUUGACCUUUGAUUCUUAGAAAUGGUGCUUGAGUGAGUGAGAAUGAUCCUAUAUGAGGGCUAUUUAUAGGAGAAGGA